CAGAAUAAGAGUCAGAUGAUGAGAAAAGUAAAAUGGGGAAUAGAAAUAGCUUGCACGGUGAUCAGACCGUGAAAGAAAUUUCACAAAGAUGAAAUUUCAGUUUUUGGGUGAUGGAUAGAGAGAACUCUUCUCAAGUGGAAGCUAAAAAAUAAUUGGAUAAGCUUGAGGGAGUAGCAAGUUCGAAUUGAAAAAGGUGAAAGAAUCAAAGAGCAGUACAAUUGCAGUUGAAUAUCUCGAAAAGCUGAACACAGAGAAAGUUUGAGGUGAAAAAGAAAACAAAUAAAAAUAAAGAAGCCAGUAAACGCAACAAAAGGUGCAAGAGGAGAGCGAAGGAAAGCUCAAUGGCACAGACAGAAUCAGAUGAGAAGAGAAGGUAAACGCAGUCUCACUAGUAUUUCAAGCAAUGUGGA